rnacentral:lncRNA from 1 species
UGGGGAAGCGUUCAUACGCACAUGGCAAGAACGCCCGGCUCAUCAGCUCCUACAUGUCCCAGAUGCUAGAAUGGGAGCCGCCUCAAGAUGCCCACCUGCAGCAGGAGGAUGACAACGACACGUUGAUCAAGACGUGCAAUUACAUUGUCAUGGGCGAAGAGAAGCUGGUGGAUAUUGAGCCCACUGCAGAUGGUUACAAGCUGGGAAAGGCCAAGUCCCCAGGUUAUGAUAGCAUCGUCAAAUUGCUGGAAGAAAAUGAUAGCAUCAUCACUGUACGUAAAGUUUGGGAGCUCGAUGACAAGGACAAGUUCUUCUCCCUUCAGCAAAUUCAAAGCUUGAAGAGAAUCUGCCUCUCAUUUGCUCUCUUCAAGCUGCUCCGUCGAAGGUUCGAGCAC